AGAGUUUGAUCAUGGCUCAGAUUGAACGCUGGCGGCAUGCUUUACACAUGCAAGUCGAACGGCAGCACGGGUGCUUGCACCUGGUGGCGAGUGGCGGACGGGUGAGUAAUACAUCGGAACGUGUCCUGAAGUGGGGGAUAACGCAUCGAAAGAUGUGCUAAUACCGCAUAUACUCUGAGGAGUAAAGUAGGGGAUCGAAAGACCUUAUGCUUUUGGAGCGGCCGAUGUCUGAUUAGCUAGUUGGUGGGGUAAUUGCCUACCAAGGCGACGAUCAGUAGUUGGUCUGAGAGGACGGCCAGCCACACUGGGACUGAGACACGGCCCAGACUCCUACGGGAGGCAGCAGUGGGGAAUUUUGGACAAUGGGCGCAAGCCUGAUCCAGCAAUGCCGCGUGAGUGAAGAAGGCCUUCGGGUUGUAAAGCUCUUUCAGUUGAGAAGAAAAGAUUGUAACUAAUAAUUACAGUUCAUGACGGUAUCAACAGAAGAAGCACCGGCUAACUACGUGCCAGCAGCCGCGGUAAUACGUAGGGUGCGAGCGUUAAUCGGAAUUACUGGGCGUAAAGGGUGCGCAGGCGGUUCUGUAAGUCAGAUGUGAAAUCCCCGGGCUUAACCUGGGAACUGCGUUUGAAACUACAGAGCUAGAGUGUGGCAGAGGGGGGUGGAAUUCCAUGUGUAGCAGUGAAAUGCGUAGAGAUAUGGAAGAACAUCGAUGGCGAAGGCAGCCCCCUGGGUUAACACUGACGCUCAUGCACGAAAGCGUGGGGAGCAAACAGGAUUAGAUACCCCGGUAGUCCAA
rnacentral:rRNA from 1 species